GUGGGGAAUAUUGGGCAAUGGGCGCAAGCCUGACCCAGCGACGCCGCGUGGGUGAUGAAGGCCUUCGGGUCGUAAAACCCUGUCAUGCGGGACGAAAGGCCUGGGCUCUAACAGGGCCUGGGCUUGACGGUACCGCAGGAGGAAGCCCCGGCCAACUCCGUGCCAGCAGCCGCGGUAAUACGGAGGGGGCAAGCGUUAUUCGGAAUUAUUGGGCGUAAAGGGCAGGUAGGCGGUCUCGUGUGUCCUCUGUGAAAUCCCUCGGCUCAACCGAGGAACUGCAGGGGAAACUGCGGGACUUGAGUCCGGGAGAGGAGAGCGGAAUUCCCAGUGUAGCGGUGAAAUGCGUAGAUACUGGGAGGAACACCGGUGGCGAAGGCGGCUCUCUGGACCGGUACUGACGCUGAGCUGCGAAAGCUAGGGGAGCAAACGGGAUUAGAAACCCUGGUAGUCC
rnacentral:rRNA from 1 species